AUUGAACGCUGGCGGCAGGCCUAACACAUGCAAGUCGAACGGAGCGGCGGACGGGUGAGUGAUGCCUAGGACUCUGCCUGGUAGUGGGGGAUGACGUCCGGAAACGGGCGCUGAUACCGCAUACUAUCAGAUGAGCCUAGGUCGGAUUAGCUAGUGGGGGGGGGAAAGGCCUACCAGGGCGACGAUCCGUAACUGGUCUGAGAGGAUGAUCAGCCACACUGGAACUGAGACACGGUCCAGACUCCUACGGGAGGCAGCAGUGGGGAAUAUUGGACAAUGGGCGAAAGCCUGAUGCAGCCAUGCCGCGUGUGUGAAGAAGGUCUUCGGAUUGUAAAGCACUUUAAGUUGGGAGGCGUUACCAACAGAAUAAGCACCGGCUAACUUCGUGCCAGCAGCCGCGGUAAUUC
rnacentral:rRNA from 1 species